UUUUCUUGACUCUAAGCCCUUAAUGCACUUCCGACUUUGGCUCCCGUGGUCUAUUUGAAUGGUAGUUUGAUCAUUUUCCUUGAGUUAUACUCAUUAUAUCAAUCAUCUUCAAAUAAUGAUAAAUUAAGAUCAAUCUACAGUUUUAGAACAAUAUUCAUUUGUUGUGAAUUGAUGUCGCCAACAAUAAACCAAAUUAUGAGAUAAAGAUUGAUUUAAAA
rnacentral:lncRNA from 1 species